GCUGGGAAGAGAGCAGAGCGAGGAGCCGCCGGGGAGGUGCCACGUAGCUACUGGGAAGAUAGGACGCCAGGCGUUCUCUGCAGCUAAGCCGAGACUCGAGACUGGAACUUGGCUUAGACAUUUCCACGCCUACCUACUUCUUUGAGGUCAUUUGCAAGGCCAGAACAUAUUUUGGAAGUGUUCCUGGCUCCUUCAGCUCAUCCAUCUCGUUCAGCAUCUGAUGGACCUGGAACUUGGAGGACAGGAACUUCAGACGCCGGGUCUCGCUAUGCUUCUCCAGCUGGCCUCAAGCCUUCCAAGCCUUCCAUUCCUUUGCUUCAGCCUACUCAGUGCUGAGAUUAAAGCUCACCACACAAAGUAGUGGGUUUCAUCGUGGCGUCCUCACAUGUGUCAACAUACUUUGUCCUUAUCCAUGUCCUUUGCCUACUGCCCUCUCCCAUGCCCCUCCUUCCGGCAGUUUCUCCCCUUUAUCAUCCAGUCAGUUUCCCCUCUGCUUUCCUAUUGCAUGUCCUCUGAUCCCCCUCUUAAGAUCUCUUCUCCAUUUCAUGGUCCCUUUUCCAAUUUCUGGUUUUGUCACACGUGCCAUUUUAAAUCUAGGCUCUGCAUA